ACACACGUGUGACCUUGGGGACACACGGGAGGUGACACACAUGUGUGACAUUGGGGACACACAUGAGGUGACAUUGGGGACCCACAUGAGGUGACAUUGGGACACACGUGAGGUGACACACACAGGAGGUGACACACGUGUGACAUUGGGGACACACAGGAGGGGACAUUGGGGACACACGGGAGGGGACAUUGGGGACACACGGGAGGUGACACAUGCAUGAGGUGACACACGUGUGACCUUGGGGACACACAUGAGGGGACAUUGGGGACCCACAGGAGGUGACAUUGGGGACACACGGGAGGUGACACACACAGGAGGUGACACACUGACGGUGACACACCCGGCAGCGCUAUGGGGCACACCCAUGGCUACGUGCGCACACGGGGACACGUGGGGUGAUAAUGGGACACGUGGGGUGACAGUGGGGUGACAAUGAGACACGUGGGGUGACAGUGGGGACAUGUGGGGUGACAAUGGGGUGACAAUGGGACAGAUGGGGUGACAAUGGGGUGGCAGUGGGGUGACACAUGGGGUGACAGUGGGACAUGUGGGGUGUCAGUGGGGUGACAGUGGGGUGGCAGUGGGGUGACAAUGGGGACAGAUGGGGUGACAGUGGGACAUGCGGGGUGACAAUGGGACACAUGGGGUGACAAUGGGGUGGCAGUGGGGACACAUGGGGUGACAGUGGGGUGACAAUGGGGACAUGUGGGGUGACAGUGGGGUGACAAUGGGGUGACAGUGGGACAUGUGGGGUGACAGUGGGACAUGUGGGGUGACAAUGGGGAUAUGUGGGGUGACAGUGGGGCACGUGGGGUGGCAAUGGGGUGACAUAUGUGGUGACAAUGGGAUACGUGUGGUGACAGUCGGGUGACAAUGGGGUGACAAUGGGGUGACAAUGGGGUGACAAUGGGAUAUGUGUGGUGACAGUGGGGUGACAGUGGGGUGACAAUGGGGUGGCAAUGGGGUGACAAUGGGGUGACACGUGGGGUGAUAAUGGGGUGACACGUGGGGUGACAAUGGGGCACGUAGGGUGACAGUGGGGUGACAAUGGGGUGACAUGUGGUGACAAUGGGAUAUGUGUGGUGACAGUGGGGUGGCAAUGGGGUGACAAUGGGGUGACAGUGGGGUGGCAAUGGGGUGACAAUGGGGUGACACGUGGGGUGACAGUGGGGUGACAGUGGGGUGACAGUGGGAUACGUGUGGUGACAAUGGGGUGGCAAUGGGGUGACGAUGGGACACAUGGGGUGACAGUGGGGUGACAAUGGGGACAGAUGGGGUGACAGUGGGACAUGUGGCGUGACAGUGGGGUGACAAUGGUGAUAUGUGGGGUGACAAUGGGGUGACAGUGGGACACAUGGGCUGAUAAUGGGGUGACAAUGGGGUGACAAUGGGACAUAUGGGGUGACAAUGGGGUGACAGUGGGGUGACAAUGGGGACAGAUGGGGUGACAGUGGGGUGACAGUGGGAUACGUGUGGUGACAGUGGGGUGACAGUGGGGUGACAAUGGGGACAGAUGGGGUGACAGUGGGACAUGUGGGGUGACAAUGGCAAUGGGGUGACAGUGCUACACGUGGGGUGACAGUGGGGUGGCAAUGGGGUGACGAUGGGACACGUGGGGUGAGAAUGGGGUGACAAUGGGGCACGUGGGGUGACAAUGGGGUGACAAUGGGGUGACAAUGGGGACACAUGGGGUGACAAUGGGACACGUGGGGUGACAAUGGGGAUAUGUGGGGUGACAAUGGGGUGACAAUGGGACAC
ensembl:lncRNA